rnacentral:lncRNA from 1 species
UAAAGACUAAGCCCUUGUUUAAGCCCCAUUCUUUUGAAAAAAAAAAAAUUGCAUUUUUCAAUAGUAUUUUAAUAUCAGUUCAACCACACAUUUUUCAAUAAAAUAAUAUUACACGUAAAUUCAAAACUUUUCUUAUUUUUUAACCACACAUUUCUCAUCAAUACACUAUUUAAAAAUUCAUUCUUUCUCUUGACAUGGGGCUUAAACAAGGGCUAAAUAAACAAAUUACUUAUUUAUGUUCAUAUUUGUCUCUCUUUAAAACAAAUUUUUUUUUUUAAUGUUUAUACUCAUUUUUAACCACAAAUUCACAUAAUAAAAUAUUUUAUAAGUAAAUUCAAAAAAAUUUCUAUUUUUUAAUCAAACAUUCUAAAAAAAAAAUCACAAUUCAAAAAAACUUUUUUUCCUAAUAUUGACCCUCAAAUAAGGACUUUACAUUCUAGUACUUUCUUUUACAGGCCAAACACUUACUAAUAUGAACUAGACGUCGUAACGUGAGUUACAAGAGUUUUGUAAUUUUUGUUUAGGGAUGGGUAAGUAGUAUAUAUGAUACUAAAACUAUAUAUUUAUUUUUCAACUGCUAAUUGGGCUUGCAUAAUUGUAUAAAAAAUUGAAAACAAAGUAAAAAUUUGAAGUUUUUUAAAAAAAUAGAAAAAAAAUAGUACCUAGUAUAGCGUUGAAAAUGCAUUAUAGUGAUUAUUAGGUAUAUACUAGAAAUACCUCGGGAUUGGAAAGAAGAGUAUAAGGAGUGAUAUUGCAUAAGAAGUGUGAGAAAAAACCGACCACUAGAGAAUGAGAUUACUAUUAAGUCAAUAAUACUUGUUGGUUGUGUUCUAAUAUAGGUAUAAGUUCAAUUAUUGGCUAAUCGCGUGCGCACGCGCACACACAGAGACACUCUA